rnacentral:pre_miRNA from 1 species
GUUUCUACUUCCCCUGUUCCAAAAUAAAUGUCUCAACCUUGUACUAGCUCUAGUAUAAAAUUGUACUAAGCCUCUAGACAAUUAUUUUGGGACGGAGGAAGUAUUAUU